UAGUUGGUUGCACAGUCAAGUCACAGACGGACAUGACAGUACACGUCAAAAAAGUUUAACAACGGAGAUAGGAUAGCAAGUUAACUGUUUUUAAAUAAUUUCAGCUGAAGUUUUGAUGUACCUUGCCAACUAGGUGCUUGUGACAAUAGAAAUGAAAUGAUCUAAUCCAAAAAUGCAAGCUCACAACCCAUGUCUUCUGAAGAAAAAUCAUUUCUGUUGCAGAUUUUGCAUUUAGACUGAAUGAGAACCUUUUUGUUGCCCAUCCAAGGAUAAGGAAAAGGCCAACACCACCAACACGGUCAACAAGGUUUCGCGUAGUUGCUGUCCGAUGUGUCACGUUGUUGCAGCCUAUGCUGGUAAAAGAUCUUUCUGCAUCAAGUUCAACUGGUCAUUCCUUGCUGGUGGUGUUGUGUUACCAAAAUUGCAUCAUCAUAUUGUUUAAAUUGUCAUUGUAUGCAGUUAUCGUUCAGGAGUUCAGAAGCAACAAAAACAAAUAUGGGAUGUUUAUGUCAAACAUAAUAAUCAAGUUUUCCGGGAUUGGGAAAGGAAAGUGGAGGAUGUUGGAGAGAAGGGGUAAUCCAAGUUUGGAUAAAAAGUCAGUUAAUCUAUAACCCUACAAAGUACAAACAUAUCCCUACCAAUUAAUCUCCAAACCCCACACAAUUCUUCAAACCCCACUAACAUACACCUUUCAAUCCUCAAAUUUAUACCCUAAACCCCACACAUCAAUGUUAAACCCAAACAAUGUAAUGUCAAAAAUGAAUAAAAGAUUUGUAUUUG